UGAACGCUAGCUACAGGCUUAACACAUGCAAGUCGACGGGAAACGACAUCGAAAGCUUGCUUUUGAUGGGCGUCGACCGGCGCACGGGUGAGUAACGCGUAUCCAACCUGCCCAUCACUUGGGAAUAACCUUGCGAAAGUAAGACUAAUACCCAAUGACAUCCCACGAAGGCAUCCGAAUGGGAUUAAAGAUUUAUCGGUGAUGGAUGGGGAUGCGUCUGAUUAGCUUGUUGGCGGGGUAACGGCCCACCAAGGCAACGAUCAGUAGGGGUUCUGAGAGGAAGGUCCCCCACAUUGGAACUGAGACACGGUCCAAACUCCUACGGGAGGCAGCAGUGAGGAAUAUUGGUCAAUGGGCGAGAGCCUGAACCAGCCAAGUAGCGUGCAGGAAGACGGCCCUAUGGGUUGUAAACUGCUUUUAUAAGGGAAUAAAGUGAGUCUCGUGAGACUUUUUGCAUGUACCUUAUGAAUAAGGACCGGCUAAUUCCGUGCCAGCAGCCGCGGUAAUACGGAAGGUCCGGGCGUUAUCCGGAUUUAUUGGGUUUAAAGGGAGCGUAGGCCGGAGAUUAAGCGUGUUGUGAAAUGUAGUGGCUCAACCUCUGCACUGCAGCGCGAACUGGUCUUCUUGAGUACGCACAACGUGGGCGGAAUUCGUGGUGUAGCGGUGAAAUGCUUAGAUAUCACGAAGAACUCCGAUUGCGAAGGCAGCUCACGGGAGCGCAACUGACGCUGAAGCUCGAAAGUGCGGGUAUCGAACAGGAUUAGAUACCCUGGUAGUCCGCACGGUAAACGAUGGAUGCCCGCUGUUGGCCUGAAUAGGUCAGCGGCCAAGCGAAAGCAUUAAGCAUCCCACCUGGGGAGUACGCCGGCAACGGUGCAACUCAAAUGAAUUGACGG
rnacentral:rRNA from 2 species